rnacentral:lncRNA from 1 species
UUCUCCUACCUUAUUUGGUAUUACUCUACUAUAUGCUAUAAAACCCUUCAUCAUUCUGAUUUUUAGACUCAGACUCACACACCUACGCUUACAAACACACACAGAUACAUACGAACUCCUACUUACACACUUACACAAUUUAAGUUGCUUGAUUUGCAGCACUGUCUAUCCGGCUAAAAGCCAAGGCUAGACUCUUGGAUUCCACUUGCCUUCACCUUCUUGUUUGUUAUCUCCUCAACUGGUAUGCCUCAAUUUCUGUUACCAUGCUGUAUUCUAUAUGCUAUGUAGUCCGUUCACAAUAGAUAUCAACAUGCCUCGGUUUCAUGUUUGGUUCUCUCUUAACUAGCAUGCCUCAAUUCCCGUUAACCCAUCAUGUUCUGUGUGCUAGUAUGAAUAGUUUACCUUAACAUGUUUCUGUUUGAUCCAUGAUUUCUCUGUACUUCGUUCUAGACUGAUAUGCUUCAAUUUCCUACUAUCCUGCUCUAUGUGUUCAUUUGGUUGGUUAUCUUAACUUCAGCAUGCUUCUGUUCAAUAUAUGUCUACAUGUUUGCACCUAGUGGUAAUUAAUAAACCAAAUCAACUUCAGUCAUAUGAAACCUUACUGAUUCAGUUGUAUGCCUCUAUUCAUAACAUGUUUAGAUAUUGCAAAUAUGUAUGGUCAGUUCUGUUUGUAGCUCAAGUGACCCUGCUCUUUUGUGAUUGCUUUAGUUGACACAGUAUUUAUACCAAUAUGUCUGGAUUCUGCCUGUCUAGGUAGAAUUCUAUUUCUGUUUGCUCCUGAAGAAAACUAUUUUCUAAAAACUAUCCCCUAUUCUUUAUAUGUACUAAUUUUCAAAUUUCCACUCUUAGCUACCUAGGUUCCUACCACCUCCAUUGUAUGGAUCCAAUGUGAGCAUUGCCCGGGGUCUUUGAGGCUCUUUGGGAACUUUGACACACUAGAAGCAUGGCUUAAGGUGUUAUGGAUCCUACUACCUGUGUAUAUCAGACUUUCUUGCUUGACGGCUUGGUUUCCAGGAUUGAUGUUGGUCCUGUCAAGGCUCCAUAUAGUGCAAUGAAUAGCUUUGUAUAAUUUAUUCAUACCGGUCCGUGAUAAUAAUUUCUGUAAUGAACAGAUCUGGGGUUUGCUAGUAAAAGUUGGGGGGUUUAUUCUAUAUCUUUACUUGAAACUUGGGUAGAAAACCUGCCUAUAGGUUCAUUGAUGAUUAUGUGAGGGUUACUGCUUGUUUA